rnacentral:lncRNA from 1 species
UUUCCAUUGUAAGGAGAGAAUUUCAUGUGUAUUGAUAGCAAGAAAAGCGUAAUAGACAACUAUGGAUGACUUGGAUUAAGUCAUAUACAAAAUUUAUACAUAUUUUUGGACUCCAUUUCGGUAUUUAUGAAUGAAAUCUUGACUCAUUAAAAAAAGGAUUUUGAUUAAACAAUUACUGCUGCUUUUGGCCAAGUAUGCUUGCUAACAAAACCUUCACUCUCUCCCAAUAAUUAUAUGCUUCUCCAGCAGUAUAUUAUAUACACGCCUGCCUUUGCUCUAUUAAGGGUUCCACCAGUUCACAUGUCCUUAUAGAUCUUCCAUGCACAAACCAACCGAUGGCAUCCAAGUAUUGGCAAUCUAAUGCCUAAAGAGCCAGCAAUGCUAACAAAGCAGCUCCAAGCAGUCUCAUCUGAACCAUCCAGGCUGAAAUUUAUGGAGUUAACACAUUGAACGCGAGGGAUAUUAACUCAUUGGAUAACAGGGAACAAUCAGGGUCACUAAGCCUGAUAUAUGCCAAUACCUCAUUAACCUUGUCCCCUUCAGAUAACAACAACAACAACAACAACCCAGUGUAAUCCCACUUAGUAGGGUUUGGGGAGGGUAGUAUGUACGCAGACCUUACCCUUACCCUUGGGUAGAGAGGCUGUUUCNNNNNNNNNNNNNNNNNNNNNNNNNNNNNNNNNNNNNNNNNNNNNNNNNNNNNNNNNNNNNNNNNNNNNNNNNNNNNNNNNNNNNNNNNNNNNNNNNNNNNNNNNNNNNNNNNNNNNNNNNNNNNNNNNNNNNNNNNNNNNNNNNNNNNNNNNNNNNNNNNNNNNNNNNNNNNNNNNNNNNNNNNNNNNNNNNNNNNNNNNNNNNNNNNNNNNNNNNNNNNNNNNNNNNNNNNNNNNNNNNNNNNNNNNNNNNNNNNNNNNNNNNNNNNNNNNNNNNNNNNNNNNNNNNNNNNNNNNNNNNNNNNNNNNNNNNNNNCCUUCCCUCCACGAACUUCCCACCUUGCUCUUGGGGAGACUCGAACUCACAACCUCUCGGUUGGAAGUGAGGGUUACUUACCAUCAGAGCAACCCCUCUUCUCAUUCCCCUUCAGAUAACAAAGAUCUGAAUUCUUCUGCGUCGAUUUUCCUCCUCUGCUCAUCCAAACAGACAACACGACCACUCUCAAUAUGAGGUUUAUAGACCUCACAAAGGGAAAGAACAGUUGAGCUUCCAAAAGCUUUGCUAAAUGACUUCAAAUCUAACCCUCUAGCAGUUCUCAUAGACAGCAUAACAACAUCCGUCGCUAUUGUCUUUAGCGUCUACUUUACUGUCCUGGCAACAAUUCACUAGGCCAUUCUCCAAAUUUUGCAUGUAACCCAUGUAAUCUUUCAGCUUUCUUGCCUUGAAAACCUUACCCCAUUAAGAUAACUGGCUGACCCCAGUCCAAAACCAUAAAAAGAUUUGUUUAUCCAGUAUGUAUAAUUGUGCUUGCAUUGAUAACCACUUUUGCAGUAGCUACUAAUCUCAUAGUGCUCAUAACCAGCAUUUCUUAGCAUUUCAGAGGCCAUUUUGUAAAACUCAGUAGAUUGAUUUUCAGAAGGCAGAGGGAAUUCUCCAGCUGUAUACCUGUAGGCACAAUAAUUUCAGUUCAAAAGUUGAACGUGUAAGUCACUCGCAAGAUUUUAGGAUAUUCUUCUCUAUACUUGAAAAUGUAGUGUCAGAUUUACUGCUGAAAUACAUCUUGCAGUACAACUUAAUAGAAAAGUAGCAAUAAAAAACAAAUAAUAUUGGCUUUUAUAAAGUUAGCUGAUAAGAGACAAUCAAACAUAUCAACUAGGCCUUGAUCCCAAAUCAAUCUGAAAAAAUAGCUGAAAAGAAUACUGGGAAAAGAUGUUGAUAAAGAAAAAUCCCAACUUUGCAAGAGAAGGUUGUACUACUUACAAAGAUCCAAACUUUGUAUCUUGUUCAACUUGUAAAUCGUAAACUGAGACACGUGUAGGCUUUGCUUGAAUGGUGAGGCUCAAGCUUUGUUCCCACAUAUGUGGCUUCUGAUGAGGAAGUGAAGAUAUAAGGUCCAUACUCCAAUUCUCAACACCACAUGACCCAACUAUGUCAAUAGCCUCAUUAAUUUCCUCAACCCCAUGAGCUCUCCCACAACUCUUAAGCAAUUCCUCCUUGAAUGCCUGAACUCCUAGAGAAACUCUAUUAACACCCAACUUCAUCAAAUCUUUCAAUUUUGCAGUAUCAAAUGUACCGGGGUCCAUUUCUAUUGAAAUUUCAGCAUCAGAACACACACCAAAUUUAGAUUCCAAUGUGUCCAGGAUUAAAGAUACUAAUUUUGGCAGCACAAGUGAAGGUGUCCCUCCGCCGAAAAAGACAGUUUCAAGAGGUGACUUGCGGUUGGAAGGUGUUGGGGUGGCUUUAAUUUCCCUGCAGAGAAAAUCAAUGUAGUUGAGAAUUCGCGGGUCAUCAUCAGCUUGAGGAGAAGCUGAGCCGAGAGCGACGAUAGGGAAAUCGCAGUAGUGGCAGCGCUUUCGGCAGAAUGGAAGGUGAACGUAAGCUGAGGUUGGGUUAUGCUGUUGCAGGAACGUAUUGUCUAUUGCGGCAUUUUGUCGAACUGUUUGUGGGGGUUUUGAUAUUGCAGUGAUAAUUGUGUUGGAAUAGUUGCGGUGUUUGGCCUUAGAUGGAAAUGCCGUGAAUAUAGGUGUGAACGUUGAUCUCAGCAUGUUUGGGAAGGCAAAAAUAGAGCCUCCAGCAUAAUAAGCAUUAAUCAUUUUUUAGUAGGAAAAAAAGGGGAUAAAAGCAAAAGAAAACACAAGCUGGUAAUUAAUUAUGUAUAGCCAACAGAAAUAGUUUUAAGUCAGCCAAAUAUGAGCAUGGUUUUGUAUUCUAAUUUUAAAUGGAUUGGGGGGUGCACCUACGCGGAGAAGAGAAUAAUCGAUUUUGGUGAGGAUUAUUAUUUUAUUUCAGAAAAAGAGGUUUUUUCCUUCUCAAAAGUUAUGUUUUUUAGUAUAAAAAUUGCAAAAAGGAAACAUGACUACAGGCUUUGAAAAAGGAAAAAAAGGAAUAUGCAUAAAAUGUGUUUUUGCUUCUUUUUGUUUUAAGUGACUCUUUUUUUCCUGUGGCUUAAGCCAUUGGUUGGCUAAAUCUGACUUACAAGAAAAUUAUAUUAUUGGUUCGGAUCCCAUUUUUUCUUGUAUGAAAAUCAAAUGGGCGGGCCAACGAACUCUUUCGACGGCCAAUCAUCAAAAGAAUGAAUGGCCAUUGGAGGUGAAAAACCAUAGAAAUUGGUUCCCUACGAUGUCAACGUUCACGAGGCCGAUCUUCGGUGUCAUACAGUAGUAGAAGAGUAAAUAAGAUCUCUAUUAUGUACUUGUCAAACUAAUAAUUAUACAUGAUAUAUAUUUUUACUGGUAAUUUUAUCAUUUUACUAUAUAUAUAAAUAAAAGUAUGCGUGCGUGUGUGUAACAAUUUGAUGAUUUAACUAUAGAAAAUUAACAUUAUUUCCAUCAUUUUUUGUUAAAUAUUACAGUAAUUUCUUUUUUCUUUUUCCGGCUUUGGAUUUGAGGUACUAUUUUGGCGCGAAUAAGCAUAAUUAUAAGCGUUCCCGCUACAAUUUUGCUAAUCGCUAUUUUUGGCGGCUAAAAUCCCUUAAUCUUCGCUUCUACUGCAACGUUCCAAUUUCCAAGUCGCCGCCAUGAAUUCCAGAGAAGCUGCGCUGGUUUCAGCUGCCACAGUACUCGGUGCCUUUGCUUCUGCUGUAACCGUUCGGUUUUUCUUCACCCCCAAAAGGCGUUCGAUUACAGAUUCAGACUCGGGAGUCAACGGUUUCCACCAGAGGAAGUCAUCUUCUCAGAACCCAUUUGAUCCUUCAAAACGCGAAGGGUUUGUCCAUUUUAACUUUUAUUGUAUUUAAAGUUCGAAAUUUACGUAAUUUACUUUUAUUUUCAGAAAAAAUGUAAAGGAAAAUGGUUCUGUGAGUUUAGGUAUUUGUCAUGGGAUGAUUAUUUUAUGGCGAUUGCAUUUCUAUCUGCUGAACGGUCCAAGGAUCCUAACAGGCAGGUACUAGUCUAAUUGUGAACUGAUUAUCAUGCUUUUUGUAUAAAUUCUAAGUCAUUUUGGAAUGGAUGAGUAGAAUUAUACGCCAAAUGUUUGUUGAAAGUUGUGUCCUUGAUGCUAAGUUGCUUAAGUUCAGUAUUUAUAGAAAUUACUUUAUUGUGGUUGACUUUGUCAAUUAACAGAUCCCCAUAAUUAAGAGGAAGAGUCUCAACUAUAUUCUCAAACAUAAUUGAAAAUGCCAAGUAGUCUUUGAAGUUUCCCUGAUCUGGAACAAAGGCUACUGAUUAAUAUGUCCUAAGUGAAUUUAUCCCGUCUUCUAGAGAACCAAAGUAGUGAUUAGUAGUUCUUGCCCUUUUAACCUCACACUAAAAAGAGUUAUCCAAUCAUGAGUAUGACCGUGUUCCUUCCAACCAAUGAAGCUAUUUAUAGACAGUAUCAAGUUCAACUGUACUUGUUGGAAUAACUCUUGUUCAUGGUGCUCAAGUUAACUGCUCUGAGCUCUUUUGUAUGUUUUCUUUCCCACAUUUUACUGCUCUAGUGCUACUUCAAGGUUGAUUUUCUCAACUCAGGUUUCACAAGCUCCAUUGAAACUAAACACUUUCUGGUUGUUUGGCAGGUUGGAGCGUGUUUGGUGAGUCAAAAUGGUGUAAUACUAGGUAGGCUGUAUUUGAAGGAAUCACUUAUUUGUCUGUUGACAGCUGAAAAUGUUCCGUAUCAUUUAAGUUUUAUUUUUGCAAUUUAUUUUGCAAACUAUAUUUGAUUAGGGAGAACUACAUAAUACUCCUAUCAAUUGAUUGUCUUUCAGAGUAGCUGAAAGAUAGAUAACUAGCUCAUUUGGUUAUGUGGAUCAAGGGCACAUAUUCAGUCACUUUGGACUUUGUGAUUUUGCUAUAUUAACUUAAAUAUAUUAUAAUAUUCAUUUCUGAUCUCAUAACCCUGAUGAUAGCAUGGCCGUUCUACUUAUUGCAUUCUAGGAUUUCUUAUUUAAUAUGAACAGAAAAAGAUGAAAAUGGAAAGGUGAAUACUUCAGGAGUAGGGAGGUGAAAGCUACAUUCACUAAAACAUAAGUGCGUUCUUAGAAAUGGUGAACAUUUGCAAGACACAAGUUUUCUGCUGCCCUCGAAGUUGCUUUACUCUUCCUGCAGAGUAAAUAUUAUUGACUACAUAUAUGUUUUAUCUCAACUUCAUCACUUGAAUUAGAAUACAUAUGGCCACAUUGUAAUGCUGGGGAGUAUAUUGGUGAAUUAUAUAAGACCCACAUAGGAUUUUUGAUAUUGGAAGUUCAUCUUUAUUCUCUGGUUUGUUAUCUUUCCCCUUAUGGCUUGUGUUUCCAUCAUAUUUGAAUGUUUGAUUAGGCUAAUUGCAUCACGUCUAGAAUAUGCACAUUCAAGCAACAUACUUACUGCCAAUAGGUUGUUAGAUUCCAUUUAAUUUAUGCUCUGCUUUUAGCCAGGCAUUGGAUACAAUGGGUUCCCACGUGGCUGUUCAGAUGACAAGCUUCCCUGGGCAAAGGUUGGCACUGUUUGCUGAGAAAUGUUUUUGUUAUCGUCAGCGUUAUUCUAACUCAUUCGCUACCAUUUCAGAAAUCUAAAAAUGGAAAUCCAUUGGAUACUGUUUGCUGAGAAAUGUUUUUUGUUAUCGUCAGCAUUAUUCUAACUCAUUCGUUACCAUUUCAGAAAUCUAAAAAUGGAAAUCCGUUGGAGACAAAGUAUCCGUAAGUUAUAUUCUUCUCCAAAACAUUUAUAUAUGCAAAAAUGUGUAAUUACCAAUAACUAUCUUAAUUCAAGAAACAAGUUUUUCUCAAUCUACAUUAGAUGACUCUACCUCAUUCAAGCUUUCCGAUUCUUGUAGUUAUGUUUGUCAUGCUGAAGUUAAUGCCAUCUUGAAUACAAAUCAUGCAUCUGCUGCUGGACAGGUUAGCUUGAGUCAUGACUUGUGAACUAUCCAUCAUUCCAUCUACUGUCCUGACAGACACCUCUACUUCCAGUCACCCCCUCCCCCUCUAGACUGCUUCUUUUCUUUUCAAUCCUAUUGGAAAUUAUUUUAUCUCCUGCAACUUGCGCAGUAUUAACUCACAGAAUGUCUUAUCCAUAUUAUGCAGAGGCUCUAUGUCACAAUGUUUCCUUGCAAUGAAUGCGCAAAGAUUAUCAUUCAGGUGAAUUAAGCGUGAUCCUUUAUGACUUCAACAUAUCUAUAGCACCCCAGCAACAUCUUCUACUAUGUUGAUAAAAUGGAAAUUUGCCUCCGUCAUUGGAAGUUUAAGCUUUUUCUGGAUGUUCGUUUCAUAAAUUCCGAUAGAACAUGCUCUUUCAAAGAUUAUGUGAGGGCAAAACAAAUUGCUAGAUUUCCAUUAAGGGGAGGCUAUUGAAUGAUUUGUUAAAGAAUUUGCAUAUCACUUGCAAGGAAAACUGGGGGCGUCAGGAUUUCACAUAUUUUACCUUGCAAAUGGAUAUAAAUACAGACUUUACGAAGGCGCAUUUUGUCUCUUUUUCAAGAUACAAAGAGUAGUUAUAAAAGGAUUGCAAAGUAAAAAAAUAGCUAUAACAAGAAUCUUUUCGUAUUUGCUGAUAUUGACUUCUGUGCACCGGAAUUAGGAUGUUUAAUUAAUUAUGCAUUUCUGCUUCUCGCACCUUCCCUUUUUGGCUUUCUAGUAAUUUAUACUUCACAAAUGUUUGUAUUUGCAGUCUGGUGUUUCAGAGGUAAUUUAUUUUGUGGAGAAGAGGUUGGACGGUUCUGACGCAAUGUAUAUUGCUUCCCACAAACUUUUGUCAAUGGCAGGCAUAAAAGUAAGUCAUUUUAUUAGUGUCAACAACAACAACAACAACAAUCCAGUAUAAUCCCAUUUAGUGGGGUUUGGGGAGGGUAGUGUGUACGCAGACCUUACACCUACCCUUCGGUAGAGAGGCUGUUUCCAAAUAGACCCCC